rnacentral:rRNA from 1 species
AUUUGUGGCCAUACCACUCUGGAUUUAAGAUCUAAUCUGACCUUGGCAGCUAAGCAGAGUCAGCCCUGGUAAGUACUUGGAUGGGAGAAAAUACUAUGAGGAAAUCUUAUCAUAUAUA